CAGGACUCCCUCUAUAUCAGGUGUGGCUAGCUCCAUUUGACUGAUAAGGGAAACACAGCAAACUCAAAAAACUUACCAAGAUGAAAAGGAUGAGAGAAGCACAUCACACCUGCAGGGAGGUGAGCUUCCUGGCCAUUGGCCCAACCUCAGUGAUCAAGAGAAGAAAGAGGUGAGUACCCUCACCGGUACCGCUAGUCAACCUCUAGGGGGUAACAAGAUUUA